UACCGAGUUUACAACUCCCAAACCCCUGUGAACAUACCAUUUGUUGCCUCGGCGGUGCCUGCUUCGGCAGCCCGCCAGAGGACCCAAACCCUUGAUUUUAUACAGUAUCUUCUGAGUAAAUGAUUAAAUAAAUCAAAACUUUCAACAACGGAUCUCUUGGUUCUGGCAUCGAUGAAGAACGCAGCGAAAUGCGAUAAGUAAUGUGAAUUGCAGAAUUCAGUGAAUCAUCGAAUCUUUGAACGCACAUUGCGCCCGCCAGUAUUCUGGCGGGCAUGCCUGUUCGAGCGUCAUUUCAACCCUCAAGCCCCCGGGCUUGGUGUUGGAGAUCGGCGUGCCCCCCGGGGCGCGCCGCCUCCCAAAUAUAGUGGCGGUCUCGCUGUAGCUUCCUCUGCGUAGUAGCACACCUCGCACUGGAAAACAGCGUGGCCACGCCGUUAAACCCCCCACUUCUGAAAGGUUGACCUCGGAUCAGGUAGGAAUACCCGCUGAACUUAAGCAUAUCAAUAAGCGGAGGAAAAGAAACCAACAGGGAUUGCCCUAGUAACGGCGAGUGAAGCGGCAACAGCUCAAAUUUGAAAUCUGGCCCUCGGGUCCGAAUUGUAAUUUGUAGAGGAUGCUUUUGGUGAGGUACCUUCCGAGUUCCCUGGAACGGGACGCCAUAGAGGGUGAGAGCCCCGUCUGGUCGGAUACCGAUCCUCUGUAAAGCUCCUUCGAC
rnacentral:rRNA from 1 species